rnacentral:rRNA from 1 species
AGGGUUUGAUCAUGGCUCAGAACGAACGCUGGCGGCAUGCCUAACACAUGCAAGUCGAACGAACCCUUCGGGGUUAGUGGCGCACGGGUGCGUAACGCGUGGGAACCUGCCUUUAGGUUCGGAAUAACUCAGAGAAAUUUGAGCUAAUACCGGAUAAUGUCUUCGGACCAAAGAUUUAUCGCCUUUAGAUGGGCCCGCGUUAGAUUAGAUAGUUGGUGGGGUAACGGCCUACCAAGUCGACGAUCUAUAGCUGGUCUGAGAGGAUGAUCAGCCACACUGGGACUGAGACACGGCCCAGACUCCUACGGGAGGCAGCAGUGGGGAAUAUUGGACAAUGGGCGAAAGCCUGAUCCAGCAAUGCCGCGUGAGUGAUGAAGGCCUUAGGGUUGUAAAGCUCUUUUACCAGGGAUGAUAAUGACAGUACCUGGAGAAUAAGCUCCGGCUAACUCCGUGCCAGCAGCCGCGGUAAUACGGAGGGAGCUAGCGUUGUUCGGAAUUACUGGGCGUAAAGCGCGCGUAGGCGGCUUAUCAAGUCAGGGGUGAAAUCCCGGGGCUCAACCCCGGAACUGCCCUUGAAACUGGUUGGCUAGAAUACUGGAGAGGUGAGUGGAAUUCCGAGUGUAGAGGUGAAAUUCGUAGAUAUUCGGAAGA